GAUGAACGCUGGCGGCGUGCCUAAUACAUGCAAGUCGAGCGAACAGACGAGGAGCUUGCUCCUUUGACGUUAGCGGCGGACGGGUGAGUAACACGUAGGUAACCUACCUAUAAGACUGGGAUAACUUCGGGAAACCGGAGCUAAUACCGGAUGAUAUUUCGAACCGCAUGGUUCGAUAGUGAAAGAUGGCUUUGCUGUCACUUAUAGAUGGACCCGCGCUGCAUUAGCUAGUUGGUAAGGUAACGGCUUACCAAGGCAACGAUACAUAGCCGACCUGAGAGGGUGAUCGGCCACACUGGAACUGAGACACGGUCCAGACUCCUACGGGAGGCAGCAGUAGGGAAUCUUCCGCAAUGGGCGAAAGCCUGACGGAGCAACGCCGCGUGAGUGAUGAAGGUCUUCGGAUCGUAAAACUCUGUUAUUAGGGAAGAACAAACGUGUAAGUAACUGUGCACGUCUUGACGGUACCUAAUCAGAAAGCCACGGCUAACUACGUG
rnacentral:rRNA from 1 species